GACGAACGCUGGCGGCGUGCUUAACACAUGCAAGUCGAACGGGCCUGUCUUCUUUUUUGGGGGGUGGGUUGAGUGGCGAACGGGUGAGUAUCACGUGAGUAACCUGCCCUUCGGUCCUGGAUAACCGCUUGAAAGGGCGGCUAAUACGGGGUGGUCCGGUUGGUCCGCAUGGGCUGGUCGGGAUAGAUUCACUGUUUUUGGUGUUUCGGCGGGGGAUGGGCUCGCGGCCUAUCAGCUUGUUGGUGGGGUGAUGGCCUACCAAGGCGGUGACGGGUAGCCGGCCGGGGAGGGUGGGCGGCCACACUGGGACUGAGAUACGGCCCAGACUCCUGCGGGAGGCAGCAGUGGGGGGUAUUGCACAAUGGGCGGAAGCCUGAUGCAGCGACGUCGCGUGAGGGAUGGAGGCCUUCGGGUUGUGAACCUCUGUUUCCGGUGGUGAAGGCCCUGUCCGUGUGGUGGGGUUGACGGUAGCCGGGGAUGAAGCGCCGGCUAACUACGUG
rnacentral:rRNA from 1 species